GCAACAGUGACCCUACAAGACAUGGCCUUGAAAAUCUUCCUGUGCUGUAAAGUCAGGAUCUCUGAACAUUUCCAUUGCAUACAGUCUUUGGUGUGGUUAGCAAGAUUCCAGCUUGAACCCAGGCCGGGCCAGCUGAGGAAGUCUUUUAGAGCUGGUAAGAAAAUAUCAGUUGUGCUGAUAAGAAGUCAGACACGUGGAUGGAACCAUGAUCACCCUGCAGCACAUUUUCUAAUUGCCUGUUACUGAUCAGAGCCAGGGCCACUUGACAUCAUCUCAGUAUCUGGUUCCUGCUCAUGAUGGACUGCUCCUGACAUCUAGGUUGUACUCAGUAAGCUGGAAAUCGCUCUUCCUUCUGCCGGCAUCUGCAUGAUACCACAAUUUGCAGCCUUGUUAGCAGUCUCAUUUCUAAGCCCAUGUACAAGCAGGAUCUCAGUCUUUUGCAUCUGUAUUUCCAUUCAUCUGGACUCCUUUCAUUUGUUUAAUUAUUCCUCUACUCAUUCUUCGAUAAGAUAUAGUAUUCUGUAAUUUAUAAUGGUGUUGAUUCCUUUGACGAGUCAGACACAGGCAGGAGUGAGAAAGCCCUUACAGGUUGUCUAGCCUGCUGGGAGAUGGACUGAUCCACCUUUAGUAUUGGGAGCUGCUCUAGAAUUCAGUUUCUGAGAUGUUCUGGCCCAGCCAAGCCUCUGGCAAGGAUAAGUGUCCCCAUCUUGCCUGCCUACAAUUUCUUCUCUCUCUCCCCUUACCUGUGCAGUUGGCUCUAUCUGGGUUCAGUCUUCUGCUCCGAUGAAGACAUGAUCUGGCUGGCUGCAAACUUGCCAACUCACUUGCCAUGAGCAAUGCAGCUGCACCAAGCCAGAGCUCCGUAUAUGCUGGACACCUCUGCAGCACAGGGAACUGAUGGUAGAAGAACAAGCAGAUUUGCUGGCAAAUCACUUUGUGAAGAAAAUGGAAGAGAAAUGAUCGGCUUUGGCUGCUGCUGAUGGCUGAUGGGGCUUCAUAGGAAGAUUCUGAAGAAGAUAUAGAAGCCCUUUGGAGUGAGUGAGCGGCUUCGUGGUGCUUUGUUACCAGCUGGGCUUAAACCACGACACCAAGCCACCCCAGACUUGUCAGGUUUGAAGCUUUCUUCUCCACUGUGUUCUGGAUACUCAUCUGUAUGGACUUCUGGACCCUGGUCCUCAAAUUUCAGAAAGGGUUGAUCAAAUUGUUUCCUUUUGUUAAGGACUUUUCUCCUCCAUGAGAUUUGAAACCGGUGCUAAUGACCCUCACUUACAUCCUUCCUGUGAAUGUGCAGCAACUUCCUCACUGAAAUAUCUGCCAAAGAAGGUGUGUUUAUUGUUGAAGAUUACCUUCUCCUGGAGGGAUCAGAAAUUCCAGAUGUUUUCUGAGGCUCUUUAUGUCAACAGCUGAGUGAUCUGGGGAUAUUGUCAUCUCUGUGUGCAGACUAUUCAUGUAGAUAAUGGGCUGUCAUGGCCUGUUUUGAGACUGCAGUCAAGGCUGCAUCCAUGAUUGGAGCGAACGCCACUAGCUCUUCAGCUAAGUGGGUGGUAACGCUGAGAAAUUUCACCUUUCCUGUCAUCUGCCAAGUAUUCAGAUGGAGCUCCUUUCAAUUUUAUGAGACCCUGGGCCAUCCUGGAAGCAUCCGGGAAUGAUGCUGCACUUGGCAGUGUUCUUACAAUCUUUAUUGUGGACGUCAAGACAGACAAAGAAUCAUUUUUUCCUCUAGAGAAGGGAAUGGAAGGGAAACUGCUGUAGAAGGAAGAAUUACAUGGUCAGGAAGCAGGUAUUUCCCCUGCCUUCUUCCUUGGCAUGAAUGUAUUUGUGCACUACAUAUAUGAAAAAAGCUCCAUUUGCUGGUGGCCCAAAAGAGGCACUCCUUCUCUGAGUGGCUGGGAAGGCAACAGAUUGGGAGUGAAGGAGACAGCACUGUUGCUAGCUAAGGCAGUCAGCUGGGAAAGCCGCCUCUGAUCCCUUUUCUGGACUCCUAAGGGAAUGCUGUUGAGCAGGCAGAUGUUUGUCUUCUUCAGUGAGAAUCUACACACUGUUCCUUGCAAUACAGAAGCCUGAGCUAAGGAGCCAGAACCUCAAGAAUAUAUUAAUUUAUGGAGCCUUGCUUAGAGGAUAAAGAAAACUUGUAUCUGGGCGUGUUGGCAAAAUUAACUCUUCACUGAUGCUUGACUUCAAUGCCAGAGUAAAGGGACUUCAGUAUCACUAAUGGGCAGGGAAGCAGAAAAGAGAAGGAGCCAUCGGAAAGACCUGAGGAGAAGAAUUGGACCUAUCUGUUUUUACCAGUAGAAGGAAGACAAAUGGAGCAGUUUUUCAACAACUGAAAACCAUCUCAAGAUACACAGAUCAACUUAGACUAUAACUAAAACAACAGCAGCAAUAUCAACACCACCACCACAGUCUUCCAGUCCUUUGACUGGUACUUAUCUGACCAAUAAUGGCCAAAAGCCAUCUAUCAUUGCUUAAACUACAUGAUGAUAAAACCAGAGUCUGGAAAAUGUCAUUACUCGAUCUAUUUGGUAAACUUUCAAAUAUUUCUUUCAGAAGAUUUGCCAGGCAAACAGCAUAGUAUAAAAUUUAGGUUUAUUUAAUUUGUGUUUUAUUGCUUUUGAAAUUAACUUUCAAAAAAAGUCGUGAUUAAAAAGCUACAGCUGAGCAAAGGUACAAAGCUUCUGUUGUAGAGAGCUGAGUGAGUCUGAGUCGGUAGAUCAUGGAUUUGUAGGUGCAUUUUAGUCCAGAAAAUUGUGCUGCAGGGGUGUUUAGUGGGUUUAGACCUGUGUCUGAAACGAGCUGGACAGGGUGAAUGCAAUAUCUUACUUGACCUUUUUCUCUGUUAUGGCUGCUGUUUGUUGUGUCAAGGUCAAAAUAUUGGUACAUCCAGACAGGGAGACCAUUCAUUCCUUAUUUCAAAGGGAUAUCACAUUAUUCAUCCUUUAGUUGCCAGAAUAAAAGAAAGGCUGAGUCAACAAACCAGUGCUUUGCAGAGACACUAAAUAACAAAACUUUUAGUUAGGCUUUGUUUUCACUGUAGAAUUCAACCAAAAGGAAUCUAAUUUUCAAGUAAAACUAUCCACAAAGCUCCUUCCCUCAAAAAAUGGCAUCUUCUU